GACGAACGCUGGCGGCGUGCUUAACACAUGCAAGUCGAACGGCAAGGCCCUUCUUUUUUGGUGUUCUCGAUUGGCAAACGGGUGAGUAACACGUGAGUAACCUGCCCUUUACUUUGGUAUAACUUCAGGAAACUGGGCCUACUACCGGAUAGGAUCUCCUGUUGCAUGGUGAGGGUUGGAACGUUUCGGCGGUUGGGGAUGGACUCGCGGCUUUUCAGCUUGUUGGUGGGGUAGUGGCUUACCAAGGCUUUGACGGGUAGCCAGCCUGUGAGGGUGACCGGCCACAUUGGGACUGAGAGACGGACCAGACUCCUACGGGAGGCAGCAGUGGGGAAUAUUGCACAAUGGGCGGAAGUCGGAUGAAGAAACGCCGCGGGCGGGAUGACGGCUUUCGGGGUGUAAACCGCUGUCGCCUGUGACGAAGCGUGAGUGACGGUAAUGGGUAAAGAAGCACCGGCUAACUACGUG
rnacentral:rRNA from 1 species